UUAGGCGAAGCGCAUCGGUCGUGUAAAAAUUAUAGUUUUAUGGUUGAAUUUAUUACGCUUAAU
rnacentral:tRNA from 1 species